rnacentral:rRNA from 1 species
UACGGAGGGAGCAAGCGUUGUUCGGAUUUACUGGGCGUAAAGGGCGCGUAGGCGGAUUGUUAAGUCGGGGGUGAAAUCCUGGAGCUCAACUCCAGAACUGCCUUCGAUACUGGCGAUCUCGAGUUCGGGAGAGGUGAGUGGAACUGCGAGUGUAGAGGUGAAAUUCGUAGAUAUUCGCAAGAACACCAGUGGCGAAGGCGGCUCACUGGCCCGAUACUGACGCUGACGGUGCGAAAGCGUGGGGAGCAACAGGG